rnacentral:rRNA from 1 species
GAUGAACGCUAGCGGCAGGCCUAACACAUGCAAGUCGAGGGGUAUAAAGAGCUUGCUUUUUAGAGACCGGCAAACGGGUGCGGAACACGUACGCAAUCUGCCCUUAACACGGGGAUAGCCCCAGAGAAAUUUGGAUUAAUACCCGAUAGUAUUAUAAUAAGGCAUCUUGUUGUAAUUAAAGCUAUGGCGGAUAAGGAUGAGCGUGCGCAAGAUUAGCUAGUUGGUGAGGUAACGGCUCACCAAGGCGACGAUCUUUAGCUGAUGUGAGAGCAUGAUCAGCCACACGGGCACUGAGACACGGGCCCGACUCCUACGGGAGGCAGCAG